rnacentral:rRNA from 1 species
ACUCCUACGGGAGGCAGCAGUGGGGAAUAUUGCACAAUGGGCGCAAGCCUGAUGCAGCCAUGCCGCGUGUAUGAAGAAGGCCUUCGGGUUGUAAAGUACUUUCAGCAGUGAGGAAGGUGGAUAUGUUAAUAGCAUAUUCAUUUGACGUUAGCUGCAGAAGAAGCACCGGCUAACUCCGUGCCAGCAGCCGCGGUAAUACGGAGGGUGCGAGCGUUAAUCGGAAUUACUGGGCGUAAAGCGCAUGCAGGUGGUUUGUUAAGUCAGAUGUGAAAGCCCGGGGCUCAACCUCGGAAUUGCAUUUGAAACUGGCAAACUAGAGUACUGUAGAGGGGGGUAGAAUUUCAGGUGUAGCGGUGAAAUGCGUAGAGAUCUGAAGGAAUACCGGUGGCGAAAGGCGGCCCCCUGGACAGAUACUGACACUCAGAUGCGAAAGCGUGGGGAGCAAACAGGAUUAGAUACCCUGAUAGGCUCUGC